GUAGGUAAGACCCCUGGAAGAACACCAGGUAGAUAGGCUCGGGGUGGAAGCGCGGCAACGUGUGGAGCUGACGAGUACUAAUCGGUCGAGGGCUUAUCCUAA
rnacentral:rRNA from 1 species